UACGUAGGGGGCAAGCGUUGUCCGGAAUCAUUGGGCGUAAAGAGCGUGUAGGCGGCCAGAUAAGUCCGCUGUGAAAUCUCGAGGCUCAACUUCGAGCUGUCGGUGGAAACUGUCUGGCUAGAGUCCGGAAGAGGAGAAUGGAAUUCCUGGUGUAGCGGUGAAAUGCGCAGAUAUCAGGAAGAACACCCGUGGCGAAGGCGGAUCUCUGGGCCUUACCUGACGCUCAGGCGCGAAAGCUAGGGGAGCGAACAGG
rnacentral:rRNA from 1 species